rnacentral:rRNA from 1 species
UACGAAGGGGGCUAGCGUUGCUCGGAAUCACUGGGCGUAAAGCGCACGUAGGCGGAUUGUUAAGUCAGGGGUGAAAUCCUGGAGCUCAACUCCAGAACUGCCUUUGAUACUGGCGAUCUCGAGUCCGGGGAGAGGUGAGUGGAACUGCGAGUGUAGAGGUGAAAUUCGUAGAUAUUCGCAAGAACACCAGUGGCGAAGGCGGCUCACUGGCCCGAUACUGACGCUGAGGCACGAAAGCGUGGGGAGCAAACAGG